rnacentral:lncRNA from 1 species
GCCCUUCGUACAUCAGCUGAUAUCUCAAAGUGCUGUACAGAAAACCAGCCUAAAACCCCAAACAGCAAGCAAAACAUGUGAAAGAAGCACGGUGGCUAGGAAAAACUCCCUAGGAAAAACUCCCUAGAAAAGGACAAAAACCUAGGAAGAAACCUAGAGAGGAACCAGGCUAUGAGGGGUGGCCAGUCCUCUUCUGGCUGUGCAGGGUGGAUAUUAUAACAGAACAUGGUCAAGAUGUUAAAAUGUUAAAAUGUUCAUAAAUGACCAGCAUGGUCAAAUAAUAAUAAUCAUAGUAGUUGUCGAGGGUGCAACAAGCACGUCCGGUGAACAGGUCAGGGUUCCAUAGCCGCAGGCAGAACAGUUGAAACUAGAGCAGCAGCACGGCCAGGUGGACUGGGGACAGCAAGGAGUCAUCAUACCAGGUAGUCCUGAGGCAUGGUCAGGGUUCCAUAGCCGCAGGCAGAACAGUAGAAACUGGAGCAGCAGCACGGCCAGGUGGACUGGGGACAGCAAGGAAAUAUUAUCUGCUAUGACUACAAGAUCCGAUAGGAAUUCAGGGAACUCAGUGAGGAACACUGCAUAUGGCCCAGGAGGCCUAUAAACAGUAGCUAUAAAAAGUGAGUGAAUAGGCUGCAUAGAUUUCAUGACUAGAAGCUCAAAAGACGAAAACGUCAUUGUUGUUUUUUUUUUUGUAAAUUGAAAUUUGCUAUCGUAAAUGUUAGCAACACCUCCGCCUUUGCCGGAUGCACGGGGGGUAUGGUCACUAAUGUAACCAGGGGGUGAGGCCUCAUUUAACACAGUAAAUUCAUCAGGCUUAAGCCAUGUUUCAGUCAGGCCAAUCACAUCAAGAUUAUUAUCAGUGAUUAGUUAAUUGACUAUAACUGCCUUGGAAGUGAGGGAUCUAACAUUAAGUAACCCAAUUUUGAGAUGUGAGGUAUCACAAUCUCUUUCAAUAAUGGCAGGAAUGGAGGAGGUCUUUAUACUAGUGAGAUUGCUAAAGCGAACACCGCCAUUUUUAAUUUUGCCCAACCUAGAUCGAGGCACAGACACGGUCUCAAUGGGGAAAGCUGAGCUGACUACGCUGACUGUGCUAGUGGCAGACUCCACUAAGCUGGCAGGCUGGCUAACAGCCUGCUGCCUGGCCUGCACCCUAUUUCAUUGUGGGGCUAGAGGAGUUAGAGCCCUGUCUAUGUUCGUAGAUAAGAUGAGAGCACCCCUCCAGCUAGGAUGGAGUCCGUCACUCCUCAACAGGCCAGGCUUGGUCCUGUUUGUGGGUGAGUCCCAGAAAGAGGGCCAAUAAUCUACAAAUUCUAUCUUUUGGGAGGGGCAGAAAACAGUUUUCAACCAGCGAUUGAGUUGUGAGACUCUGCUGUAGAGCUCAUCACUCCCCCUAACUGGGAGGGGGCCAGAGACAAUUAAUCGAUGCCGACACAUCUUUCUAGCUGAUUUACACGCUGAAGCUAUGUUGCGCUUGGUGACCUCUGACUGUUUCAUCCUAACAUCGUUGGUGCCGACGUGGAUAACAAUAUCUCUAUACUCUCUACACUCGCCAGUUUUAGCUUUAGCCAGCACCGUCUUUAGAUUAGCCUUAACGUCGGUAGCCCUGCCCCCUGGUAAACAGUGUAUGAUCGCUGGAUGAUUAGUUUUAAGUCUAAUACUGCGGGUAAUGGAGUCGCCAAUGACUAGGGUUUUCAAUUUGUCAGAGCUAAUGGUGGGAGCCGUCGGCGUCUCAGACCCCACAACGGGAGGAGUAGAGACCAGAGAAGUCUCGGCCUCCGACUCCGACUCGCUUAAUGGGGAGAACCGGUUGAAAGUUUCUGUCGGCU